rnacentral:rRNA from 1 species
CGCUGGCGGCGCGCCUAACACAUGCAAGUCGAACGAGAGAUGAGGAGCUUGCUCUUCAAAUCGAGUGGCGAACGGGUGAGUAACGCGUGAGGAACCUGCCUCAAAGAGGGGGGACAACAGUUGGAAACGACUGCUAAUACCGCAUAAGCCCACGGCUCGGCAUCGAGCAGAGGGAGAAGGAGCGAUCCGCUUUGAGAUGGCCUCGCGUCCGAUUAGCUAGUUGGUGAGGUAACGGCCCACCAAGGCGACGAUCGGUAGCCGGACUGAGAGGUUGAACGGCCACAUUGGGACUGAGACACGGCCCAGACUCCUACGGGAGGCAGCAGUGGGGAAUAUUGCACAAUGGGGGAAACCCUGAUGCAGCGACGCCGCGUGGAGGAAGAAGGUCUUCGGAUUGUAAACUCCUGUUGUUGAGGAAGAUAAUGACGGUACUCAACAAGGAAGUGACGGCUAACUACGUG